GAUGAACGCUAGCUACAGGCUUAACACAUGCAAGUCGAGGGACCGGCGCACGGGUGAGUAACACGUAUCCAACCUGCCCUUUACUCGGGGAUAGCCUUUCGAAAGAAAGAUUAAUACCCGAUGUAAAGGAUGGGGAUGCGUUCGAUUAGGUUGUUGGUGAGGGAACGGCUCACCAAGCCUUCGAUGGUUAGGGGUUCUGAGAGGAAGGUCCCCCACAGUGGAACUGAGACACGGGCCAAACUCGUACGGGAGGAAGCAGUGAGGAAUAUUGGUCAAUGGGCGUUAGCCUGAGCCAGCCAAGUAGCGUGAAGGAUGAAGGCUUAUGGGUCGUAAACUUCGUUUAUAUAAGAAUAGGUAUUAUAUGAAUAAGGCUCGGCUAACUCCGUGCCAGGCGCCGCGGUAAUAC
rnacentral:rRNA from 1 species